ACGCUCGACACCUAUGGGAGGCAGCAGUGGGGAAUAUUGCACAAUGGGGGAAACCCUGAUGCAGCGACGCCGCGUGAGUGAAGAAGUAAUUCGUUAUGUAAAGCUCUAUCAGCAGGGAAGAAAGUGACGGUACCUGAGUAAGAAGCCCCGGCUAACUACGUGCCUGCAGCCGCGGUAAUCUGAGCGGGCUGGCAAGGC
rnacentral:rRNA from 1 species